rnacentral:RNase_P_RNA from 1 species
UGAGAUAGGCGGAUAGUCGCGUGGCAGAUUUUUGGUUUGUCAUGAGGAAAGUCCGGGCUUCGUAGGGUAAUGGUGAUAGGUAACGCCUACCGGAGGUAACUCUAGGGAAAGUGCAACAGAAAUUAAACUACCUAAAAUGCUUGGCUUAGGCUGAUGAUUUUAGGAAAAGAUGAAACGGCGAGGUAAGAGCUCACCGGCGCGCAGGCGACUGUGCGGCCUUGUAAACCCCACCAGAAGCAACACCGAAUAAGAGGGCGACCCGCCAGCUUGCGCGAAUCAUUUUUGGCUUUAUGCUAAGGGUGGUUGGCGUGGCACUCUUGAAGGGUGGCUAAAGCUAUGCAGCAAUGUAUAGCGUAGAUAGAUGACUAUACAAAAGGAGCGGUGGCGUUUUAGUGCUUUGGCAUUUUGCGCUUAGGCUCUUUUGGACAGAACUCGGCUUAUAGCCUAUCUCAAAAG